GAGGCCUCCUUAGUGCAAACAAAUCUGUGUUACGUGAAUGUGGCCAGUUUUGCUGCUUAAUGAGUACCUUUGGCAGAAAGCCCACGUCAUUUCCUGCUGCUCCAAACAGUUGACCUCAGCACAUCAACAUAUGAAGAUGGUGAUCAGCCUUGGUAUCUCCCUGUUCCUGGUGAGAGAUGCUGAAUGGAUCCUGCCCUUCGUGACUGCACCAGCUAGCUUCCCUCCUUCCCUCCUCACUGAGAGAGGAAACCAUCACAGGAGAACCAUCCCCUCUUUCAUCAGUGGCAUCUUUCUUCCAGUGAUCACAACUGAUAUGCAGGAAUGGGUUUGCUUUGAGAUCAGGGGAAGGCUUCUACCUCUUUUUGUAGUUCUUCCCCCAGACCUAUGCAGCUCUGGCUCUGGUCCCAUGAGGAUGAUGUCUUGGCAUUGUGGGGAAAUGUGAGAUGUGGUGGGACUCAGCCUUCAGUAGGAGCAUUCAUCCAGACUGAGGUGAACAGAAGGGUCACAGAGUUCCUCUUGUUUCCAAUUGCUCCUGACUCAGUGUCUGUCCAUGCUUUUCUUAGAGACAUGUAUCUACCUCUGCAACAGAGGCAGAUUUCUCUGUGGUGUGUCUUGCAAAGUAAGCUGUGCAAAUGGAGAGCUGCAAAGCCUUUGGAUGUACUCCAGGAGAUUACAA
rnacentral:lncRNA from 1 species